rnacentral:rRNA from 1 species
UACGGGGGGGGCAAGCGUUGUUCGGAAUUACUGGGCGUAAAGGGCUCGUAGGUGGCCAACUAAGUCACACGUGAAAUCCCUCGGCUUAACCGGGGAACUGCGUUUGAUACUGGAUGGCUUGAGUUUGGGAGAGGGAUGCGGAAUUCCAGGUGUAGCGGUGAAAUGCGUAGAUAUCUGGAGGAACACCGGUGGCGAAGGCGGCAUCCUGGACCAAUACUGACGCUGAGGAGCGAAAGCCAGGGGAGCAAACGGG